rnacentral:lncRNA from 1 species
GUAUCUUCUUUUUGACCUGCUCCACCAUCCUGCUGGCUGAAACAUGCUUAUUCACUGGGGAUUCUAUGAUCGGGAAGGGUUCCGGAAAGAGAAGGAGCAAGAAGAAACGAAGUUAGAAGCUGAAAGCAAUCCCACCAUGAGAAAAAACCUUUAUUUAUCGCAUUCCAUUUCUGCUGGUCUCCAGGCAUCCUGAAGGACACAGUCAUCAGAACUGCCACCGAGGAGAGUUUUUUUUUUUCUUUUCUUCCUCCCCUCCCCCACAAUCACCAUAAAAUUGGCCCCCACACUGCCGACCCAAAAAGCAGGGAUGUAGGGUGGUUCUUCUCUCAACUUGACAUUUUACUUGUUUUUCAAAAGAAUAGUGACUAAGAACCUCAUGAAAUCUAAAUAUGGUUACUGAUAGAAAUUUAGAUUGUCACCAAAAGCACAAUAAAAAUUUAUAUGGUAAGGAAAA